rnacentral:lncRNA from 1 species
GCUGUAAAGUAAAAGUAUGCCGAAAAUGCAAUGAAGUGGUGGAAGUUCACCAAGGGCUGAAGCAAGGA